UUGAAACGUAAAGUAUUGUAAAUUUUUAUUAUCCGAGAUAAUGAAUCCAUCAUACAUAAUUUUAUCGAUGAAAAUUUUAAUUAAAAACGAAAAAACAAAAUAUCAAAUUUUGAAACCAAAAAUCCUUAUUAAAUGGAAUUGACAAAUGAGAUAUCUAUCGGCUCCAUACUUCCUAAGGAGAAGUUUUAUCACCGGUGAUAUUGGUUUGAUAAGUGGUACCACCACCACUCCUCCUCCAA
rnacentral:lncRNA from 1 species